rnacentral:rRNA from 1 species
AUAUAGGCGAUGGAAAUUUUAUCCUGGCACAAUAUACAUAGUACCAUAAGGGAAAGAUGAAAGAACUGAAUCAAGCAUUAAAAAGCAAAGACAAACCCUUAUACCGUCUGCAUAAUGUAUUAACUAGAAAUAACUUUACACAGAGACCCAUAGCCAAGUCCCCUGAAACCAGAUGAGCUACCCAAGAACAGCUGAAGAGCACACCUACCUAUGUGGCAAAAUAGUGGGAAGAUUCAUGAGUAGCAGUGACAAACCUACCGAGCCUGGUAGAAUCUUAGACAACUCCCUAUACCAGAUCCUCUAAUUAAUUUUAAUAAAGGCCUUCUAUUUAUACUAGCCACAUCAAGCCUAGCCGUCUACAUACCCACAGAAUUACUUAGUCCCCUGUAAGUUUAACUGCUAGUCUAAAGAGGGACAGAUCUUUAGACCCUAGGAAAUAACCUUCCUCCAGAGAGUAAACAUUAUUACCACCAUAGUUGGCCCAAAAGCAGCCAUCAAUUAAGAAAGCAUUCAAGCUCAACAUCUAACUAUUUUAAAUCCUAAUCACUCUACUGAACUCCUAACAUUACGUUGGACUAAUCUAUUACUUAAUAGAAGCAAUAAUGUUAAUAUAAGUAACAUGAAGAUAUCUUCCAUCACAUAAGCUUACAUCAGACCGGAAUAACCCACUGACAGUUAACAGCCUAAUGUUAAUAAGUGAUACAAUAAGCACCUUAUUAUUUAUACUGUUAAUCCAACACAGGUAUUCUUGAAGGAAAGGUUACAAAAAGUAAAAGGAACUCGGCAAAUCUUGCCCUGCCUGUUUACCAAAAACAUCACCUCUAGCAUUAUCAGUAUUAGACAUGUCCCCAGUGACAUAUGUUCAACAGCUGUGGUAUCCUGACUGUGCAAAGGUAGCAUAAUCACUUGUUCUCUAAAUAGGGACUUGUAUAAAUGGCCACACGAGGCUUCAGCUGUCUCUUACUUUUAAUCAGUGAAACUGACCUAUCUGGCGGGAUAUAAACAAGAUGAGAAGACCCUAUGGAGCUUUAAUUCAUUAAGGCAAAUAGAAACUCACCCUAACCCAUUACCAUUGCAUUAAAAAUUUUGGCUGGGGUGACCUUGGAGCAUAAUUUAACCUCUGAACAACCUAAACUAAAAUGGCACUAGUCUAAGCGAGUUAACAUAUAUUGACCCAAUAAUUUAACUGAACAAGUUACCCUACGGAUAACAGCGUAAUCCUAUUCUAGAGUCCAUAUAGACAAUAGGGUUUACGACCUCAAUGUUGAAUCAGGACAUCCUAAUGUAGCUGCUAUUAAGGGUUCAUUUGUUCAACAAUUAAAGUCCUACAUGAUCUGAGUUUAGACUGGAGUAAUCCAGGUCGGUUUCUAUCUAUUUAAUAUUUCUGCUAGUACGAAAGGACAAGAGAAAUAGGGCCUACUUCA